UCUAGUAUAGUCAAAUUUACGACGUAGGGUUUAAGCCCCUAAGAUGGGCUUCCUUCUAGAA
rnacentral:tRNA from 1 species